GACGAACGCUGGCGGCGUGCUUAACACAUGCAAGUCGAACGGAAAGGCCUCUUUCGGGGGGUACUCGAGUGGCGAACGGGUGAGUAACACGUGAGUAACCUGCCCUUGACUUUGGGAUAACUUCAGGAAACUGGGGCUAAUACCGGAUAGGAGCUCCUGCUGCAUGGUGGGGGUUGGAAAGUUUCGGCGGUUGGGGAUGGACUCGCGGCUUAUCAGCUUGUUGGUGGGGUAGUGGCUUACCAAGGCUUUGACGGGUAGCCGGCCUGAGAGGGUGACCGGCCACAUUGGGACUGGGAUACGGCCCAGACCCCUCCGGGGGGCAGCAGGGGGGAAUAUUGCCCAAUGGGGGGAAGCCUGAUGCAGCAACGCCGUGUGCGGGAUGACGGCCUUCGGGUUGUAAACCGCUUUCGCCCAUGACGAAGCUUUGGGUGACGGUAGUGGGUAAAGAAGCACCGGCUAACUACGU
rnacentral:rRNA from 1 species